UGUGUUUGCAGUGAAAUAUCAAUUGUAUUUUUAAAAGAUGAAGAGAAAAAGGAAAGAACACUAAUUUGAAACAACCCCAAAUUAGAACAUACUUUCAAGACUGCUUUUCCAAAAACCCAGAUGAAGAAUACAGGAUAAUUUAUAGGUACCUGUGGACCAAGCUCAAGUGCUAAGGUUUGGAUAUGAAGUACUCCUAAAGAGGCCCCAUGUCUUGAAGCCAUGACGGGUAGAGGUGGGCUUUGGGGAGUUCACAAACUCUUCAUGGAGAUCAUGAUCCCAACUUUGUUCUUUUCAAAAAAGAAAACUGAGACUAAAUACUAUACCA